GUGCUCGCUUCAGCAGCACAUAUACUAAAACUGGAACGAUACAGAGAAAAUUAGCAUGGCCCCUGCACAAGGAUGACACGCAAAUUGUGAAGCGUUCCAUAUUUAA
rnacentral:snRNA from 1 species